UUUUUAAGAAGAUAAGAUAAUGCAAUCUUGAAAGCUUGUUUCUUAUGCAUUAAGCAUUUUGUGCUUUGAUAGUAAAUUUGAUGUCGCACAUAAUGUUUUUUCAGGUUUUGAUCCUUGUCAGAGAAGGGGGCAGAGAAAACAAGGGAAAAAAAGUAAAGUUUGUUCGUAACUUACUUCAUGGGUUCUGAAAACAGUGGUAAAAGCAUUUAACUCCAUCCAUCGUAGAAGCAGUUCCUCACUUCUUCGGUACUUGAUGAACGAAAUAGGAACUUCAUGAGCUUUUAGCACAUCCCAGAUUUGGCGGACUGCAUCAGUGCCACCCUGCAUCCCUACCACAGCACCUGAUAUUAUCCAUCCAGGAAGCUCUGGAGGCCUCCCAAUGGUCUCAGUGAAACGUUCAAUAAGCUCUGAUGGCGAGUUCCCAUGCAAUAUCCUUCCUUGAAUGGAAUUUCCAUAAAUCUGCCAUCUCCGGUUCCCAGAAAAUAGGAAAACUGUAAGUUUAAAAUUCUUAUAUGAGCGCCUUACUUGUGCUUUUGGGGAUAUCCUGAGAUGAAGAAUUUAGAUCUUUUCUCUUUACAUUAUAACUUUGUGUUAAAACAAAUCUCUUGCUUUUAUUUUUGG